GGAGGAUAAGGCUAAAGACAGAGGCUCCAGCUACCUUGGUGACAAGGAAUGGAGGAGAAAAGGAACAGGAAAUUUUAAUAAGAUUAGGAGGGCUUGCUUUUCUGCCAAGUGAGCCGCUUUCACAGGAGCGAUAAAUUGGAAAUGUUAUCUGGCUUGAUAUGCCAGUUUUUCUGAGAAAAUCACUCUGCCAGUGGUGACAGAAUGGAAGAGCUGAAAACAUCUUCUUUUUUCAAAGUCAUAUGUCACGAACCAAGGAGACUCCAAAAAAUAAAUUAUGGAAGAUUAUGACCACUGCUGCCAAGGAUACAGUGAAAUAGGUCCGAGGAAGUUCCUGAGAUAACUUUGUGAGUGGUCCACUAUUUCUGCAUUUCACAGCAUUGCUAUACUCCAAACUUUGUUCUACUCAUUGUUCAACUCAAUGCCUUGAACCUGGCAUAUAAUAGAUGCUGAAUACAUGAGUUAUAAUUGAAAACAA
rnacentral:lncRNA from 1 species